ensembl:lncRNA
UUAAUCUGCACACUCUCGCAGCAGGAAAUCUUUAUCCUGUGGUUUGGUUCAGGAAACAUGUCAAGCGCUGUUUCGUGUGAGCGCCAUCGUUGCUUGAAUUUGUCAAAUUGGGGGUGGACACCAUGGAUGCUUCUCUGCUUUGUGGUCUCAGGUGCUUUCUCAUUGGUCACUGUUCACCAGCCUGCUGUGCUCUCUGCAGCUCUGGGUCAGGAUAUCAUCAUGCCCUGUGAGCUCCGGCUGCAAGAUGAGAAGCUCCUGUCCCAGCCCAUCCUCUACUGGUGGAAAUUAAAUGAGAUGGGUGGUGAUUUCAUACGGUUGAUCCCCUCACAGACCCCGAACAAUAGCCGUGCAAACCUUCUGGACAAUAACGGGACAUCAACAAACAAGUCGAUGAUUCUGAAAAGUGUGCAGUGGGCUGACAGCGGGAAGUACCGCUGCAAGCUCUCGCUUCACACAGAGAGGAAUGGAAAUUUUAGGCAGAAGGGGGACACAACUUCCCUUGUGGUUUACGGCACCGUGGUCUUUAAUGUCACCAAACGCGCUCCCUGCAUGCUGGGCUGUGAGGUCAGCGUGACGCGGGAUGCUGGAUUUUCUUUGCACAUUUUUCACAACGGCCGUCGACUCCAAAAUGUUACCGCAGCUCCAGGAGACGCCGACGGCGCUCUGCCGUACGUCACUCUCUCUGAGACCGUACCUCUGUGGUCACGUGGGAAAUACGAGUGCCAGCUGCACCUGAAGGAUGACGUGAUUAGAAAGAGCAUCUUUCACAGCAACCUGCCUGAAGUUGGAGAAGGUGAUAAAAAUGUGUCCACUACAUGUUCAUCAGCGCUUCAUGGGGUGUACCCAGAGCCGUGGUUCUUGUACGUGGCCCUCCUCCUGGUACCUGUCACCGUCCUCAUAGGUCUGUUGAGUGUCAUGCUGAUAUGCAGAUGACUUUAUCAGCGUCUGGCUGAAAUGGAGAGGUGGAGAUGCAGCUGUAGAGAUCCAGUCUGUCCGGAAAUAAUCAACCACAUUUAGUUUAUCAGUGAAAAACUGCUGCAAAUAUUUAUCAGUUUCCUCAUCACUCUACUUUAGAAGCACAUCAUGGUAACAAAUGACAUCAAAGUGGUAACUGUGGAGGGAAUGAACUACAAAAACAAACAAAAAACGCUGCAAAAUUGAACUGAAACGUUCACCAACAUGGGGCUCCACCCUCUCCCUCAAGUGUUUCCCUUUGCCAUGCCGCCAUUGUAAAUGACGGUUUACUGUUAAAGAGCUGCCUUUAAAUAAAGGUUCAACAGACUCACCACACUAUUCUUUCACACAAACUGAUAUUACAGUACAUCAGCAAGUAAAACUGAUUCAUGUCAAACGUUUCACAGACAAAAAUCACAAAGUGCUUCACAAUAAAACACCAGAAAUAAAAGUAUAAGAUGUCAAAGUCAGCCAGGACAGCCCAGCCAUGUUUUUACCUCGAGAUAAUAUCUGUUUGAGACACUAUGCUGACAUAAAGACACAGCAGUUACUUCAUUAAAUUCUGCUAACAGCUUCAGUUCAUUUUGGAAAGUUUCCAAUCAUUUUUAAACACAGAGUUUUUACAAUAAGCACCUUAAAGCGCACGUUUCUGUUUCUUAGACGCUCCUGGUUUGUAUUAGCGUGUUGUACCUUAAAAGCUUAACCAGGGACAACAUCUACCUAUCAGCUAUGGCUCUAACUCCUACAUACAUUGGAUCUUUAUUAAUGUAACAAUGUUUACAUGCAUUACUAAUGGAAUGAAUUAUUAAUCUAACUAUAAUAUGUGAAUAAACCAUGAUUUUUACAGGUCUUUGUUCGUCUUUCAUGCAUUUUAUUUUGAAAGGUUUUGCUGUAAACCUCUGCUCUGGUUCCUCUUUCAUCAGAAUUGUGUUUUGUUUUAUUAGCUGUCACUUCCUCCACAGGUGCCACUUUUCCUGGUUCCUCAGACGUAUAAAAUCAUCGUUACGAUUAUAC